rnacentral:rRNA from 1 species
CCUACGGGAGGCAGCAGGGGGGAAUAUUGGACAAUGGGGGCAACCCUGAUCCAGCCAUGCCGCGUGUGUGAAGAAGGCCCUCGGGUUGUAAAGCACUUUCAGUGAGGAAGAACGCCUGGUGGUGAAUACCCAUCAGGAAAGACAUCACUCACAGAAGAAGCACCGGCUAACUCCGUGCCAGCAGCCGCGGUAAUACGGAGGGUGCGAGCGUUAAUCGGAAUUACUGGGCGUAAAGCGCGCGUAGGUGGCUUGAUAAGCCGGUUGUGAAAGCCCCGGGCUCAACCUGGGAACGGCAUCCGGAACUGUCAAGCUAGAGUGCAGGAGAGGAAGGUAGAAUUCCCGGUGUAGCGGUGAAAUGCGUAGAGAUCGGGAGGAAUACCAGUGGCGAAGGCGGCCUUCUGGACUGACACUGACACUGAGGUGCGAAAGCGUGGGUAGCAAACAGGAUUAGAUACCCUAGUAGUC